UAAAAUUUGGAGUUGUAGAACAAAAUCGAAUUUAUAUUGAUCAUUUAUGCACAUCUGUUAAUAAUGCAUCUGAUAGAUGACAGACCAAACGGCACGAAAAUCCAACGCCUAUAACGGCUAUAACCUAUAACGUUACAAUAAUACAAUAUUGUCUUUGUUUUAGUCAUAUUAUUAUGUAUUAUUGUUUGAGAACAACGUAAUCUCCUUCUGCGUCUGUAUUCAGUACACGUUCAUAGUGAUAUGUUAGAACGGUAGAUUGCGUCGUUGUUUACAAAAUAUUAUAAUAUCACGUCCACCACUUGUAAAAUUCUCGGUAAAAUAAUAGUGUAAGUGUGUAACCACUAACCACUGACCAGUAUAGACAUUAGUCAGUCAGUCCAGUCGUCAAUGUCAAUCCCUACACUAAAGUAUGCACUAUGCAAUGAACGUACAUCCCGUUUAAAACGAAACCGAUAUUUUUUUGAUAUUCUCUCGUCCCGGAAAGCUUCGAACAGCAUUGUAAUAUUAUUAUGUGCACAAGAGAAAAACCUGUACUAGAAAAAAAUCAAUAUUUUUACCGUUUUGUUUUUGAUCACAUCGAAACUAAAGUAUAUCGCUGUAACUUGAAAACAACAAUUUUUGUGUAACGACUAAUGAGCGCGGAAUGACAACGAUCAGUUGUGUAUGGCGGUAUGAGCCAUGUAUUUCAUAUGCGCAUAAUUGUGUAAACAAUAUAAAUAAUAUAAUGUUGUGAACCCUCGCAACAAAUGUGACGGUUAUCACACAUGCAUAACAGGUUUUUUCUAGAGUUGAGCCGAAAUCGUUCGUCCUAGCCCAACCCCCUAACCCCUUUCACUGGAUUCGCCAUUGUCAGUAUAUUUGGUCGUGCGAUAUCCUCAACCGGAUCAUAAACUAUAUUAUGUUUACGUGGACGCGAGAAUUUCCGUGUUGCCGUGAAAUGUAUGUCAUAAUUUUAAUGGUAAGUAAGAUUUAUUAAUUAUUUGUUUAGAUAUAUUCGUGUAUGCAGAUAUACAAAAAGCGUUAUUUUUCGUUAAAAAUGUAUGAGUUAUCAACACAUUAUAACA